rnacentral:lncRNA from 1 species
UGGAACGAAACGACUGAUCAUGUAUAUUGCACUGGGCUGAGCUGUCACAAGAAAAGGCUCUGACAAUCAUAGCGUAAGACCGGUGUGACAGGACGAUGAAAUAAUGAAAGUAUCCUGGCAACCGUAUUUUCCUACCGACUGUGGCCUGCAACACUGUGACGACCGUCAGCUACAUUUUUCUGAAUUCAGGAGGUCUCUGGCAAGACCACUACUGAGAUCAUCCUCACCUUUCUACCACUCUAUGCCUGCACCCAGAUGGCUGAAAGUUGCUGAAGAAAAUCUUGCGGCCACAAGGACUAGUCACACUUUAGUAGAAUGAAUGACAAAAUUCUCAAACAGGCAUGAAAGAUCCUCCCAUAUUCCACGGGAACUAUUUCACAUUUUCUCCUUCCUCAAACUUCUGUGAUAAAACUCAGCUGAUGACUUCACGCUUCCUUAGACAAGAUACAACCAGAUGAGAAUCAUCUCUUCCUGUACCCAGGAAUUUAUUUUUUGUUACUAUUUUGUCCCUUGUGCCUGGUACAUUUUUGAAUAAAUACAUUGAGCUAAGUUAAAUGAAACUCUUGUUAUAAUGGAAAAAAAAAUCCCAGUUUCUAUCCAAAGCCAACCAUCGCUUACGUACAUAAGAACUUCAUUCUUGUAGUUACACCCUCUCUCUCCUACAUCCUCAGUAUUUCCCUCUGAAAUAGGUCAUUCCUAGCAGCAAGACAGAGUACCUCUCAUUCUAAAAGGAAUAAGUAAAUAUUUCCCUUGGCCUCUUGAACUCUUCCAGCCACUGCCCCUCCUCUCUGUUCACCUUCACAGCAAAACUCCUUAAAAGAGUUGUUUAUGUUAAAUGUCUCUAUUUUCACACUUCUAUUCUCCCUUCAGCUGACUCAAAGCUAGCUUCUAUAUCUAUUCUUCCACUGGAAAAAUCAUUAAUUUGUGUCCACCACAACUUCCAUUUGAUUUGGUCAAGCUAAGUACUUGAAAUAAAUUCUAACACAGGCACUGCUAAUACCUGUUCUGCAGAUAAGCAAACUGAGGCUUAAAGAGUUUGCCCAAGGUUGCACAACUAAUGAAUGAUAGAUCUAGAACUCCAACCCUGGCAGUCUGACACCAAGCUCUGUGUCCUUAACUAUGAUGGUAUAAAUACCUACUUGUCUCUCCCCCACCUACUAGACUGGGAAUCGCACUUAUAGGCUAUCACAUAACUCAGUACGUCUCCUUCACAGUAUAUGCAUCACAGUUUGUAAUUAUAUACUUAUUUUUUUAUAUUUUAACAUCUGCUUUUCCUACUAAUCUGGAAGCUCCUGGAGGCAGAAGGAAUUACCUCUCUUUUGGUUGUUGUUAUCUCUAGCGUGAGACAGAUUUUGAAUGAAUGAAUGGGCUAAAAUGAAUUUGAUUAAUUUUCUUGGGGUAACUUCUAAUACAAAUGAUGUAUAUGCAAUAUGUCCCAAUAUGAUAGCCCGGGUAGAGUUUUGACACGUGUAUACACUCAUGUGCUCACCAUCCCACUCAGGAUUAAAACAUUCACAUUACCCCAGUAAGUUCCUUCAUGCUCCUCUCCAAUCAAUACUCCCUACCCUGCAACCCUUGAUCUCAUGUAUUUCACUACCAUGCAGGUUUGCCAGUUUAGAAAUUCAUGCAAAUGGAAUCAUAUAUCUUUUGUCUCAGACAUUUUCCACUUAACAUUAUAUCUGUGAGAUUUUUCCACGUUGUUUUACAUAUCAGCAGUUUGAUGCAUUUUAUUUCUGUGUAGUACAACCAUUGUAUAAAUAUAUGACUAUUUGUUUAUGUGUUCAUCAGCUGAUGGACAUUUGGCUUGUUUCUAAUUUGGG